ensembl:snRNA U6 U6 spliceosomal RNA
GUGCUCACUUCGGCAGCACAUGUACUAAAAUUGGAACGAUACAGAGAUUAGCAUGGGCCCUGCGCAAGGAUGACACGCAAAUUUGUGAAGCGUUCCAUAAUUUU